UUUCUACGUUCAGCAACUCCGUUCUGCUGUGUUUGAGUUUCCACGAGGCUCUUAAAUUUCCUGAAAGUUGCAAGUGUGUCUGAUUUCAACCGUAGAAAAUAUACCCACAACAUAUGCGAGAAGUCAUCUGUAAAAGUUCUUUAAAUUGUGAAAACCAGAGUGUCCGAGCCUUUUAUGCCAUAACUCAGACAAGUUUUCUUCUUUGGCCAUCCUUACACUCUCUUCAGCUAACUCCAUA